rnacentral:lncRNA from 1 species
CUACAAACACUCUUCUCUUAAGCUCUAGUAGUUAAGAAACAUUAGUUGAAGAAAAUAAGAAACAUUAUACCUAGCUAUUAGAGUUUAAGAUGGCUUCAAAAACUUGUUCCUCCCUUGCCCUUUUCCUCACACUCAACCUCGUUUUCUUCUCACUUGUCUCUGCAUGCGGUUAUACACCAUGCCCUGGUCCAAACCCAAAGCCAAGGCCCAACCCCAACCCUAACCCUAACCCCAGCCCAAGUGGCUCGUGCCCCCGUGACGCACUCAAACUAGGUGUAUGUGCCAAUGUGCUAAACUUGGUGAACGCCACUUUGGGUCAACCACCAGUUACCCCUUGCUGCACCCUUCUCGAUGGUCUCGUUGACCUUGAAGCUGCAGUGUGCCUUUGCACUGCCCUCAAAGCAAACAUUUUGGGCAUCAACCUCAACCUUCCAAUCUCCCUUAGCUUGCUUCUCAAUGUUUGCUCAAGGAAAGCUCCACGUGAUUUCCAAUGUGCCUAAUCAUGGCCCAUGAGCAAGUUGCUACGUGCUUAUUCCUAGUUGUGGUUUUCCGUUGUUUUUUUUUUUUUUUGAAAUUCCAUUUAUCAUGGUGUGAUUCUUGUUCGUGCAUCAGUGCAUGGAUGGGUAAAUUCUCGUUAUAUUCUGCCGCUUUAUUGAUUGUUUUAUCAGGCAAAGUGUCACAUUAAAUAAAUUCCCAAUGCUUAAUUUCUUAUGUAAAGCAAAAGGAAUAAAAAAAUGAUAGUGUUAUUUAUAUGGCAGAUAAAUGGUUAAUGUUGCAAAUACAUUUUAAUAUUUAUUGAUGCCAUUUUGUUUUGUCUUUUCGGUGAAUGAGAGCAUCAGCUGAUCAGCAAAAUUACAUUGCUUUCUAACUUGUGUCCAAUGCGCAACUAGAGGAAAACUAAUUCAAGAAAAGAAUAAAAAUGAAAGUAAGCAUGCACAACACUGAGCCCGUGACGAUUGUACAAAGCACUCCACGUGCAUGCACUAUUAUUUCAUUUAAAAAAAAAGCUCAGAAUAAUUAGCUAUUUAAACCAAGAUACAUAUUAAAUUCUAUGGUACCACAGUAACACUUUUAGAGGUUUUGGAAAAUUUCAUAUUUGGACCAAUAGUUAUUAAGUUACUUAGUCAUCAAUUUACUAUAUGUGGUAAUGAAAUUGUUAUAUAUAUAUAUAUAUAUAUAUAUAUAUAUAUAUAUAUAUAUAUAUAUAUAAUUUAGUCCCUAAUUAAUUCAAAUAUUUUUUCUUUUAAAAUUAUUAUUUUUAAUUAUUUUAAUUAAAUAGAUAGAUCUGAUCAUUGACUCUGUAAAUCUUGAAGUUUUGGCAUUCAUGUGUCCUUCGACCUUAAAGAAGUGGAAAAAUAUCCAUGUUAAAUCUACUAUGGGGAAGGUUAAUUAAAAUUCAAUCCACAAUUGGUGACUCUAUCACUUACAAUGCUCUACCUUAUUCCAUGUUCCAAAAGAGCAUGUAAAAAAUCAUAUUUCCUCCAAUCUUAGUUAUAAGCAAAAAAGACAUUUUAUAUUUAUUAAAAAAAUUAACAAACUUUAUUAAAUUGUAUCAUUAAUUCCUAAUUAAAAAAUAAAUAUUUUUUCUAAACUAUUGGACUUUAUAUCAAAUAUAUAAAAAAAAUAAUCUUAUUAAAUGAAUAUAUUUUAGAGAGAAUCUUAUUAAAUAAGACAUAAAUAAUUCAAAUUUAAUAUUCUAAAUCCAAUGAAAUACUAAUUACUGUUCUUUACAAGCCUUCUGAAGUCCUUAGCUUGGUUCCUAAUCUAGAUCAGUCCCCCAGUUCAAGUGUAUGGAGAGGCCUAUGUCUUCCUCCUAACCCUCCUAUAUACUUUAGCCUUUAGAAGGGAUGUUCUGAUUAAUCGGGAUAUUCAUCGGUUGGUGUGAGUUGCGAUUGCAUCAAAAUCCCGUAGAUUGUGGGCUCUUACACAUCGAUGUAGGCCAAGUGUAGGUCUUUCUAUUGUGAGUGAUUUACCUCGGGACGAAUGAGGUGUGGCCCAAUGCGUAGUACUUCAAGCCACGAGUGGAGUAUAUAUGCACGAAGUGGCUUUGGUACACAACCCCUUAAGCCACAAGUGGAGUAUGCACAAAGUGGGUUUGUAGAGUUCGGGUUGACCGAGGUGUGGCACAAUACACAAUCCCUCAAGUCACAAGCUAGAGUGAAGUAUGCACUAAGUGAGUUUGCAGAGUACUAUCAAGAUUGAAAACUUGAAGGUACUUGAAACACACAUUGAAUUCUUAACAAAGUCAACGAUUAUAAAUCUUGCAAGAACACUCAUUGAAUUCUUUUGUAAAGAUAUAAAUGAAUGAAACACAAGUAAAAGUGUCAAAAAUAUCCCUGCUUAAUAUAAUAUAGAAACAAAAAAAAAAGACUAAUAAUACAUGAACCACGCCUAUUAUUACUACAAGAUUUUUUUUAAUGUUACACCCUAUAUUAACACCCAUCUUUUUCUCUAUCCCUCUCUUCUUCUCAUAUCAAAAUAUCUAUGAUACCUAUUAUCCCCCCCUCUCUUCUUCUCAUAUCAAAAUAUCUAUGAUACCUAUUUUACCAGAAAAAUACUUAUAUUUUUUUUAUAUUCAUGAAAUAAUCAAGNNNNNNNNNNNNNNNNNNNNNNNNNNNNNNNNNNNNNNNNNNNNNNNNNNNNNNNNNNNNNNNNNNNNNNNNNNNNNNNNNNNNNNNNNNNNNNNNNNNNAUAUAUAUAUAUAUAUAUAUAUAUAUAUAUAUAUAUAUAUAUAUAUAUAUAUAUAUAUAUAUAUAUAUAUAUAUAUAUAUAUAUAUAUAUAUAUAUAUAUAUAUAUAUAUAUAUAUAUAUAUAUAUAUAUAUAUAUAUAUAUAUAUUUACAUAAUACACGAACUACUUGCUAAUGAUUAUAUAGACUCCAAUCCCAAUCCCUCAGGUGGCUUCUGCCCUGGCGAUGCACUCAAACUAGGCAUAGGUGCCAAUGUGCUAAAUGGGCUGCUCAACGUGACUUUGUGUCAACCACCGGUUAUAUCUUCUUCUUCCCUCCUCAACGGUCUCAUUGACCUUGAGGCUGCACUGUCCUUAGAGCAAAUAUUUUGGGCAUCAACCUCAACCUUUCCAUCUCACGCAGCUCACUUCUCAAUGCUUGCUCAAGGCAAGUCCCAUGUGAUUUCCAUUGUGCCUAAUUACCCAACAUAUCAUAUAUAUCAUCGUACCUACUUUUGCUUUGUGUUUUCCAGUUGUGACUUUCCUUUCUUUUUUUUUUUUCAAAUUCCAUGUGUGGUUCUUGUACGUGCAUGGAGGGUUAGCUUCUCGUUAUUCCUUCCUUUCAGUGUUUUUGUAGUUAUCUGGUAAGAGUGACGCGAUAUAUAUUAUAUAUAGAAGCUCUCGAUGGUUGCUUGUGUAAAUCGCAAUGUACAAAAGUUGAUGAACUAGUCUGUUAUUUAUAAAAAGAAAACCAAACACAAGCGCUUGCAAAUGACCUCGUUAUUAAUGCUUCUAUUAUAUAUAUAUAUAUAUAAAGAGAUCAAAUAUCAAUAUAGUUUUGACCAACUAUUAUCUCAUUUAAUAACUUUCAAUUAAUUAAUAUUUUUGUUAAAACUCGUUAUUUGAUUAAAAAUUCAUUUCACAUGAAUUAAAUAUAUAAAAUUUUAUAUUAAUAUAAAAUUAUUUGUUAUCUUAUUAUUCAUAUAAACUAAAAUUGAUGUAAUAAAAAAAAUUAAAAUAUAUUAAAUUAUAAAUCAUUUGAUUAUUUUUUUAUUAUUGUUUAAUUUUAAUAAAAUUUAACACAUAUAAUAUAUAUUGAUAAUAUGUAAAUAUAAUUUAAUGAUCAAAUAAGUAAAAUUCACAAUUUUUUAUCAAAUUAUAGAAUAAUAAAAUAUUAAAUUAUAUUAAUAUAAUUUCAUCUAAUACAUAUUAAUUGUAUUUCAUGUGUAAAGAAUUUAGUAUUUUUUUAAUUGCAAUUAGUCUUGUAUAGUUUAAUGAUAUUUUUACCAGUGACUUGGUUUUCAUAUUGUUUUCCGUUAAGGCAUUAAUGGUCAUUUUCAUAAACAUUGGAUUUGGUAAAAGUCGAAAGGAUAAGACGAUUUUGCCAUAUGCUUAACUUGGCACUCUAUGGCUUGGCCUUUAUGGCUAAUAAGUAACACAUUUGUUUUUAAAAAUGUAUCAUUUGGCUUGAUCUCUUUGUUGGAUUUGAUUGAAUACUAAUCUUGGUCGUGGCAUAUAAGAAUAUGAUUUGUCCACCACUCGUAUAAUGACAUACAAACUAGCCUAGUUUUAAGCCACAACUUCUAACUUUGCAUCAUAUUCGGUUUCUAUGUAACCAAAUACACCAUAUGAUGCAAAGCCACAAAAUCUUCCAGCACUCUAUGCAUUUCUUUCCAUUUGCCAAUCCUAAAUUCGAUAUAAAAAAAUGUUGUAUUCCAUUAUUUGGUAGAACCGUAUUCACAUCUAACUACUGGUACCAAGUAGUCUCUUUUGAAAUGGGGAGAUUAUUAAAGUUAAACUCUUUUAGAAUGGAAAUAAAAGUCUAAUUAUGUUUAAAAAGUUUUAGAGUUUAAUAUUUUUUCAUAUAUAUUUUCUUAAUGAAAAUUAUUACACUGUUAAUUUGUUAUAAUUUUUAAAAUAAUUAUUACAUUAGAUAUAAUUUUUAAAAUAAUUAUUGUAAAUUAAAGCUAACAAUUUUACUGUACACAAAAAUUUAUAAUUGUGUGAUAAAACAAAUAUAAGUAUAUUUUUAAAGCAAAAUAUAAGUAUAUUCUAAUUAAAUACUAUUAACAUUUGCUAAGGCUAAUAAUUUGAAAACUUUGCAUAAUAUUUUGUUUUUGUUUUUGACAAUCGUGUAAUAUAAAAUUGGUUAAUGUGACUUCACGCCCCACCCCCAAAUUAUGAAGAUUUCACGAGCCAAAAACGCGUGGAAAACUUAGAUUUGAUUUUGAUAUUAAUUGGACAUCACAGAUUAAGUCAAUAAUUGCGGACUUGUUCACAAAGGAAUGUCUAAACGAAACUCUUUUUAAAAUGAAAAAAAACGUAGUACAACGUUCUUCAUUGGCUUAUGGGCCUUUGCUUGUUAGGCUUCUAGCUAUUAUAAGCUCCUAGUUGCAUGCUUCCUGUCGAAAAUUGAUCAUAUUUACAUAAUUGUUUUUUUUUUAACUUAAUACUUUCGUCGUGCAGUGACGACUGAUCCACGUAUCAACGAGAGGAUGCACUUCCAACCCUUCGCUUUUUUGGAAAACACACACACACAUAUAUUUUUUAAAAUAUGUAUAUUUUAUCUUCUUAAUUUUAUAUAUUUGAAUCAUCUAUCCUUAAUUUUAUUAGUAUUUUCAUAAAAUAUUUUAAACAUAAAUUUAAAUAAUAUAAGUACAUACACACUAAUUUACCCUUUGUUCCUUUUUCAAUCCUUAAAAUUUUAAGGCGCAAAUGAAUAAAACAACAAAAAGAUAAGAUAUGUAUUGAAAUUAUACAUAUGGUUCCACCUUAUUUCUGGUUACGGUACCCAGUUUAAUUACAUAAUAUAUUGCUUAUCAUGAAAGAAACGGGAAAAAGGAAACAACUAACAAAAACCAAAUUAUAUAUAUAUAUAUAUAUAUAUAUAUAUAUAUAUAUAUAUAUAUAUAUAUAUAUAUAUAUAUAUAUAUAUAUAUAUAUAUAUGAAAUAUAUAUAUAUAUACACAUAUAUGAAACCAUCAAAUCACAUAGAUUAUAGUUGAAAAUAUCAUUUUUAAUCAAUAGGAAAGGUAAAAGUCUCACUAUUUACGGGAAAUAAAAGAAUUAACUACGACGAAAUUGAUAUUUUUUUUCAAAUUACCUUUCUAAGCCUUUUCAAUCGGUAAAAUAUUUUCUUUAAUUUAUUACACGUAUUUUUUUUUUUACUUUGAGAAAAAAUAAUUUUUUUGGUUUUAUAUUAUUUUGAAAUACUUUUCAUUAAAUAAACAUAUAUAUAACCAAAAAAUAUUAAAAAAUAAUAACUAUUGAGGUAAAUUUAUUAUAAAUUUAACUAACCUAAAUAACUAAUAAUCAUUAUUCACUUCUUAUUUUUGAACAAAAUAUCUACUAUUUACUAUUUAUAGUUUAAUUAUAAGAAUAUAACUUAUAAACACUGUACCUUAAAGUAUUUUUUAUAUUAAUUUUUAAUCAAGGUUUUAUUUUGAUAACCAACUCCAACUUAAUUAAUUAUAACUUAUAUUACGUGGAUUAUGGAAAUAAAAUUUAACUAUUAAUCAUUGCCUUCAUUUUAAAAUAAGUGUCACAUUUAAUUAUUUAAUGUAACAUUAAUUGUUUUUUUUUAUUAUUUCUAAUAAAUAUCACUUUAAUUUUUUAGUCUAAUAUUAAUAUUAUUUUUUAUCUAUUUAAUAAUAUUAUACUCUAUUUUAUUUAUUAAUUAACUUUUUUAUAUGUAUAAAAUAUUAUACAACCACACUUAUUUUCGGACUAGGGAGUAAAAAAAACAUUUAAGAAACAAGAUAGUAAGUUUUCUUCAAAUUCAUAAUUAAUAGCUAUCAGCCAAUUAGCUAGUGGUAGUGUGAGGAUAAGAUUGAAAAUGUAAUAAUAGCUAUUAGCCUAUUAGCUAGCGGUAAUGUGGGGAUCUGAUAGGCUGUCGGGAUACACACUUUUUUUUUAGAAGUUAUUCAAAUUUAAAAGAAGAUAGUUUUUUUUUAAAGACGUAUACGAGAAUAAAUUCUAAUUUUUACUAAUAAUUAUAAUUUAUUAGUUAAAUUCAAUGUUUAUAUAUACAAUUUUAAAAUAAUUUUUUUACUAUUAACGAGCUAAAACUAUUUUUCAUAUGACUUUUAAAAUAGUUAUUACAACAAUUUUAUCACAAAUAACAUUAUACAUCAAUAACUAAUAAGUGGUAAUGUUACAAAUUCCUGAAUAAGAUGACCCGGCCGGCCCGGAAAAAAACAAAAUUAGUCGAGAUUUUUAACAAGAUAUUUUUAUCAUCGAAAGUUAUAUACUAUCUUUUAAAGAAGUAGAAUAUGAAUUAAAGAAAAGCUUUUUUUGACACAUGUAUUAUUCUAUUCGCAUAGCUAAGGAUUGAAACACUAAUAUAUGUUUAAAGAGCUCAAAUUAUUUGCUACUUGUGUAAUAUCUUGUAGGGGUUGGAAAUUUUUUUAUUUGAAUCAUAUGUAUAAAAAAGUGCAUUUCAAUUUGAUGUCAACCAACACGUACUUUGUUCGAAACAGGCUGCAGGAAGAAUAGUCAUCAUCCUCAAAUUUUAGCUAUUUUAUUUAUUAAAAGUUUAAAUACAACCAAAUUAAUCACAUCUCGGAAGGAACUGUAAGGGAGAGUGUGUACUGUGCAGUCAAUUUCCAACCACAAUAAGCAAUACUUAUAAUAGGACCCAGUGACCCAUUAUUUCACAUGCAGAACCUUAUGUACUCUCAGAUCCACCGAUUGAUGGCGGUUCCUGCAUGCAUCACAAGUCACAAGCAUAUAAUACCUAAUUUAAGGUUUUUCCCCGCCAGCUAAAAUUCUCAUGUUCACUCAUGGUCAUUUCAUUAACAUACUAUUUAUUUAUUUUUUUGUAAAAAAAUUCAAGUGUUGAAUAUUAAUUUUGAGGUACUGAAUAUAUAAGUUUUAAUUAAAAAAAAUUAUGUUUUGGUUUGGGUAAUUGGCUCGAUUCAGUUUCGGUUGAUCUAGCAUGAUAUUAUUCCAUUUGGAUAUCUCGGAUAGUAACCCAAAUUUUAUGUUUGGUGAGACUUAUAAGCUAUUGUCUUUUUUUUUUCUUCUCAAUUUUAUGCUUAUUUUUUAUUUAAAAUUUAGUUUUAUCUUUUUAUUCAAUUUAAAAACUUUCUUAUUUUCUUUAUUGUCCGGACAAAUUCUCGUAUUUAAUUUAAUGUUCUUACAUGCUUACAACAAACAUAAUAAUCAAUCCCUCAAUUGUCAUUGUUACAUCAUUCUUUAAUAUUAGAUUUUUUUAAAAUUAUUUCAAUUUUAUAAUUAUUUACUAUUUUUUUUAUUUUAUAAUUACCUAUUUUGAUCCUUUGCAUUAUUUUUUAUUUUAUUGAUUUAAUUUGUUAAGGCAAAAAUAUAUCCUACUUUUCAAGAUGAUUAAUUAUUAAAAAUAAAAUUCAAAUAUUAAAAAUAUUAAUAUAUUAUUUGAUAUUUAUUAGAUAAUUUUAUUAAAUACUUUCUUAAUUAGCUAGCUUAUAAACUUAUAACUUUAUAGCUUAUAAACUUCCAACCAAUUUAUAAGUCAAUUUUUACGAGACAUAGCUAAAUUGAUCCAAACUGAAAAAAAAAAAAAACACACUAGUUUGGGUUGCUAGUAAAAUAAAAUAAAAUAAGACAACUGAAGCUAUCUAACUCAGUACUUAAUAAUUGAAUUGUCGAUUAAUUUAAGUUUGUAUAUUUUACCUAUAUACGUACAUAAUACACCAACUACUUGCUAAUAUUUUAAUAGAGUCGUCAUCAUAUUCUCAUUGACACUUCCAAACACCAUGAGCACUAUAUAAACCCCCCAUCCACACCAAAUUACUCCCAUCUUCACUUACACUCUUCUUUUAAGCUCUAGCAGUUAACUAACAAUAUUAGCAUUUGCUAGUGAUUAGGAAUAUAAAGAUACGCCAACCACAAACAGUUUAAGAUGGCCUCCAAAACAUGUUCAUCCCUUGCUCUUUUCCUCACACUCAACCUCCUCUUCUUUUCACUUGUCUCUGCAUGCGGUAGUUAUUCAUGCCCUAGUCCAAAGCCAAAGCCAAAGCCCAAGCCAAAGCCCAACCCUAACCCUAGUCCUUCUGGUGCAUCGUGCCCCCGUGACGCACUCAAGCUAGGUGUAUGUGCCAACGUGCUAAAAGGGUUGUUGAACGUGACUUUGGGUCAACCACCAGUUACCCCUUGCUGCACCCUUCUCGAUGGGCUCGUUGACCUUGAGGCUGCAGUGUGCCUUUGCACUGCCCUCAAAGCAAAUGUUUUGGGCAUCAACCUCAACCUUCCUAUCUCACUCAGCUUGCUUCUCAAUGUUUGCUCAAGGCAAGUCCCACGCGAUUUUCAAUGUGCCUAAUCAUGGCCUAUACACAACAUAUCAUAUAUAUCUAACGUGUUUGGAAACUCGUUGAGGAUGGAGAAAUCACGUCUGAGAUAUGAAAAGCUAUAACUAUUUGCUUUUCCACAUCUAAAAUGUGAAAAAUUACGUCUGAAACGUGAAAUCAAACACGUUAAUUAAUCAUCCUAUCUACGUACUUUUGCUUCGUGUUUGGUAUAGUUGUGACUUUCCUUUAUAUUGAUCAGUGUGUGAAUCUUGUACGUGCAUGGAGGGUUAACUUCUCCUUAUUCCUUCCUUUUAGUGUUUUCUAAAUAUUGUAUGGUUAGAGUGUUGCAAUAAAUUAAUAAAUAAGUUCCUGAUGCAUGCUUAUGUAAAUCGCAAGGGAACCAAAGAUAAUGAACUGGUGUGUUAUUUAUAUUUGAUUGAGAAAUGGUCAUUAUAUCACAAAUAAUCGUUUGGAAAAAUAAAUAUGUUGGGUACGUUUAUGAGUGGGGGGUCACUGAUGUAAUAGGAGCAGAUUAUGUAUGCAGGGACUGAACAAAUUAUCUUGCUUGAUAUAUGCUGUGGGGUUUUAUGUGCUGCGUCAAUAGUUUAGGAGCAGGAGCAGAUUAUGAUUGCUGCAUACAUAAUAUGCAGGAGCAGAUUAUAUGUAUGUUGUGGGAUUUUGCAGUGUAGUGGUUUAUAUAUGAUGUAAAAGGGUUUGGUUCCCUUAUAUUAUACCCUCUAUUAUAUAAAUCUUAUUUGGCUUAUAUAAAAAGAAUAAUCCUUCUUAAUUUAUUUCGUUCUGCCUUUUCCUUUUGUCUUUUUUGGUGAACGAAAUCACCAACUAAUCAAUUAAGUAAAUUAUUCGGCAUACUACUAAUUAAAGUGUAUCAAUUGAACUUUCAUAUCUUGCUCGGUAACAAACAAAAUUGGGAAGUUAUGAGUUGGUUUUUCAGGGCUAUUGCUUAAUAAUAUCUCUGCUAAUUAUAUCCAAUUUAGUUCUUUACUAAGGAGGAAAUAGCUGCAUACGAUUCGCUACCUUUUUUUACCAUGCAGGGUAUGAUCUAUUUAAAUCAUGCAUAAUGAAAUUGUAUUUCAAGGUGUAUCUUUCGACUUAUCUAGUAGUGUUUUAGAUUUUUAUAAAGAUUAGAUCGAGGACAUUCAGCAAUAAAUUAAGUAUAAUAUUCUUUUAUCUAAUUUGUUUACAUCUUGUAGCCUGUUAGAGCACUCUGUCUCUUAAUAAAUUGUUUUUCCUGUAAAAGAAUAAAGUAUUUAAUUGUUGAAAAUGUAUAUUACGGGAAGACAUAUUACUAAUCAAGUAUUUGUUGAAAAAGUUGGGAACACAAGAGUCCAUCAUAUUAUUAUUAAAUUGUUGAACCAUUUCCCCUAAAUCUAAGAGAUCAAUAUUGGAAGAAAAAAUCAUAGACAUUCAAAUUACUUUUCCUGGAUAUAGUGACAAUAUAAUAAAUUAUACAAACAAAUGAUAUACUUUUGAAUCACCAUAAUGUUCGUGCAAAUUAUUCAUUUAUUUUAUUAAUUACACAUAAUAAUCUUUAUUUUCAAUUACAAAAUUUCAACUUAAAACUUUAAGAAAUUUAAAUCCAAUUUCACUCAAACCAAAAUCACAUAUGUUAGCCAAACAUAUGAUUAGUUAUUGUAUACUUUAUUUUAUAUAUUAAAAAAAUCCAUGUACAUUUAUAAUAUUUAUAUGGCUAAAAUAUUGUUCUAAUCGCUUAUUUAUUUAUUUAUUUAAUUGGUGUAAUUUGAUUUCUUUAUUGAUAAAGACUUCAAUUUAGUUAAUUUUCAAAAUCAUGUCUAUGUUGUAAUUUUCAUCUAGUUGAUAAAAAUGUAGAACCAACAAAAUGGGUAAGAACUCACUAGUUUGAGCCGGGUUGGGUUGAUUUUUUAUGCCCAUUUCAAUUAUUAUGCAUAAAUAUGGCCCACCCAACCCGUAUUCAGGUUGACUAAUAAAAAAAACAUGUAUGUUGAUGCUAUUAAAAAAAUAACCCACUCCUUACUUGUCACGCAAAUGAAAUAGCACAACAAUUAUAAUUAGGUUUGUCCUUUUUUUUUCUCACUCUUUUUUCUUGAUUUAGUUAUUCUUCUUGCUUUCCUUUUUACAACAAUCAACAUAGAAUAAAAAUUAUAGGAAGUUUUUUUUAAAAAAAAUCAUUUCGUCCUUUUAAUUUUAGGUGGAUCAAACUAUUUAAUCUAUCAACUGGUGGUUACCUAAACUAAUUUAACUAACUUUUUAAAGACUCAGCAAAAAGUGAGUCAAGAUAGGCUAGUCCACUUUUUGAGCAACACGAGAUGAACUGACUUUGUCCACUUUGACAAUUGUAUUGGUGUUAACAAAAACAGACAUGUGCCACUUUCACAGGUUCAAGCCACUGACGUUAUUAUAGUCAUAUAUGCAAUUUUGAAAACUAAGGGUAAUUAUUUUUUUUAUAAUAAAAUGGCCAAAUUGGAUAAAUAAAAUAAAAAUAGAGACAAAAGAGUAUUUCAGUCUAUUUAUAUUAAAUAGUUAAUUUUCGUAAGAAAAAAAAUACAUACAGAGAGUAACAGACUAAUUCAAAACUUAUUUAUUAGAGUUUUAUUUUUGUUUAAUGAAGUGAUUUAAUAAUCAUUAUUUGAUUCUGAUUUUUUAAUAAAAUAUAUUAAUUAUUUAUUUAUUUAUACCUUAUGUUAAAAAAAUUAAGUAUUUAUACUUUAAUUCAAAGAAUAAAACUUAUAAUACAUCAUCUAUUUUUUUGGUAUUGUUUUUUAUAUAAGGUUAUAUUUUAAUGACCAACUCCUUGUUUUUAUUUUAACUUAUAAAGUAUUACUAGAUUAUCAAAAUAAUUUUCUAAUUUUAAUUUUAAAAACGUUUAAGAAGCAAAUUAGUUUUCUUCAAAUUAAUAAAUUAAUCGUUGCUAUCAGCCAAAUAGCUAGUGGUAACGUAAGGAUCUGAUUAAAAAUCUAAUAAACUUAUAAUAGCUGUUAGCCUAUUAGCCAAAUAGCUAGUGGUAAUGUAAGGAUUGGGUAAGCUGUCGGGAUAUACAUCAUCAUCUCUGUUUUGUUUUGUUUUUUUUUUUUUUUUUUUUUCCAAAAUUAUAUUUUAAUCUCCUUAGUUGUCUCUAAUUUUGAUUUUAGUAUCUUUUAAAAUUAUUGAUGCAUAUAGUAAUGCAUUUAGUCCUUCAAGUUCAACCCCGUAAACAUGAUCCUAAUUUAGACGUUGACUGUUAUAAAAAAAUGUUGACAGUCACGUGUUACAUUCUGAUUGGACGAUAAUUGACACGUGUCACAUUUUGAUUGAAUAUUGACAACAACAAUACAUUUUUCAUCAUUCAUAAAGUCAACAUUUAAUUAGAACGUGACACAUGAUAAUUUACGGGAUUGAAUAUAAUUAAAGGACUAAAUGCAUCAAUAAUUUUAGGAUCGGAGGAUAGAAGUUCCAAAUUUAAACCAAAAUGGAUUUUCAAUCAUGUAGAGGUAUACGAGAAUAAAUGAUAGUAAAGGUAUAUAAAUUGAAAAUUAAUAAUUAAUUAUACUGAUUAUAUAUACAUAUAUAAUAAAUCAUAAAAUUUAUCAAUUUAAUUAAUUUUUAUCAAUAAUUAUACUUUUAUUUAAAUUUAUUUUUUUAUAUAAUGUCAAUGCAAUUUAUUUACUAUUAACUAUUUAAAAAAUAUUCUACAUAAUUAUUAUAAAAAUUAACGACCUCAUCAUUCAAAACUUAAUGCAUUACAAUUAAAUUCUUCCUACUUUGUUGUUUAAAAUUUUAAAUCCAACAUAAUUACUUUUUUUCCUGAUAAUCCAACCAAAUUACUAUUCACUCCAAUCUUAAAUAUAAAUAAAAAUACCUCAUAUAAUUAUUUCAAAUAUAAAUAAAUUUUAACUAAUUUUAAAAAAACAUUCUCCAAAACAUUUUUAUUUUAUUUCAAUAACCUCUUUAAUUCUCGUUAUAUCAAUUGCAUGACUUUUAAAAAUAAAAAAUAUUUUCAAUUAAAAAAAAUUCUAUUAAAAUAAUGUUUUUUAACAAUUAGCGUGAAGAGUAGUUUGAAUAAUGAUUUUUUUUAACAAGAUACAGAAAAUUAAAUUAAAUUUACUAAAUUAUUAUAAAACAAUCACCGUGGUAUUCAUGCAAGUGAAACUUAUCUCAAAUUUCUUUAGUAAAAUUUGAAAUUUAAAUUAAACUUUGUAGAUGAAAGAAAAAAAAAUAAGAUGAGAGAUUCUAUAUAGGAAAAGUGAGUCACUCAUAUUUCUUAACAAAAGAUUAAUAAUUAUUAGCAAAAUAAAUAUAUAUUUCUCACUAAAAUUAUCUUGUAGUAAAAAUUACCAUGAAUUUUUUUAACACAAAAUUUAAAAAAAUAUCUAAAAAAGAUUUAUACGUUUGUAUAAGUGACUUAUCUCUUUUAAUUAUAAGUGAUAUAGAAUUUAAACUAUGAUUGUUAAUUUAAUAUAAAAUAAAUCAUAUUAAAACAGAAGUAUUAAUCUCAAACAGCUUUCAAUAGAAAUUAUUUACUACUCACACUAUAAUAAAAAAAUAAAAAAAUCUGGCAAGGGUUUGUACUUUGUAGAGAAGUUGUGGUGAAUUUACAGCCACAAUUAGUGAUACUUAUAUGGGACCCGCUAUUCCACAUGCAAAAGUUAGUAAUUGCAUAAUUCUGGGGACUCCAAGGAUCUUAGAUCUUACGGUCAUGGAAUCAAGUUGCCCAACGGGUGCAUAACUUUGCUCCCCAGAUCCACCGAUUGAUGCCAGUCCCUACAUCAACAAGUCACGAGCAUUAAAAACCUAAUUUAAGGACUUAAUUUUCCUGCCAGCUACAAAUUCUCAGGUUCACGUUCCAUUAAUUUAAUAUUUUUUUAUUUAUUAUGAAAUAUAUUCAAGUGUUUAAUUUUUUAUUGUCAAAAAUCAAAUACUGUAUUUUAAGUUGUUACGGAGUUAUUCUUAAUCAAAAUUAGCAUUUAUCUAUAUAAUUAUUCUUAAUUUUAGUUAUAAAAAAUACUGAUUAUUAAAAUAAAAUUUUCAUUUUGAUUGAAAAAUUACUCCAACCAUUUUUAUAAUAUAUACAAUAUCUAGGUUUAAUUUAUUUUUAAGAGAAAAAUACUCUCAUACAUAUAUACAUUCAUAUGUUCCUUUUAUAGGCAAUAAUAAUAGUACUUAUUUAUAUUUUUCAUUAUUAAUAAAACUAAUCUAUCAUUGAUUAAAUCAAUUUUUUAAAUGUCUUUUAAUUUAAGUUUUACAUUUUACCUAUAUCGUACAUAUAUAAUACACAAACUACUUGCUAAUUUUUUAAUUGACUCCUCAUCAUAACCCCCUUCCACCUUCAAAACAUCAUGAGCACUAUAUAAACCACAAUCCACAUCCUCACAAACACUCUUCUCAUAAGCUCUAGCACUUAACUAGUAAUAUUUAUUAGAAUUUGCUAGAGAAUUAGAAGAAUAAACAUAAUACCCCAGAUGGCUUCAAAAACUUGUUCCUCCCUUGCCCUUUUCCUCACACUCAACCUCGUUUUCUUCUCACUUGUCUCUGCAUGCGGUUAUACACCAUGCCCUGGUCCAAACCCAAAGCCAAGGCCCAACCCCAACCCUAACCCUAACCCCAGCCCAAGUGGCUCGUGCCCCCGUGACGCACUCAAACUAGGUGUAUGCGCCAAUGUGCUAAACUUGGUGAACGCCACUUUGGGUCAACCACCAGUUACCCCUUGUUGCUCCCUUCUCGAUGGUCUCGUUGACCUUGAGGCUGCAGUGUGCCUUUGCACUGCUCUCAAAGCAAACAUUUUGGGCAUCAACCUCAACCUUCCGAUCUCACUCAGCUUGCUUCUCAAUGUUUGCUCAAGGAAAGCCCCACGUGAUUUCCAAUGUGCCUACUAAGCUUAUACUAUAAGUAUAACAUAUCAUCUUAAAUCUUCUUUUGCUUCGGGUUUGCUCUAGUUGUGGCUUUCCAUU